rnacentral:misc_RNA from 1 species
AAGAACUACCUGAUCAAUACGCAGGCCGGGUGAAAUCUUAGUGGUCGGGGAGCCCGAGGUAGAGCUGAUCAUUUAUUUAUUGAGGAUUGUUCUGUUCAGAUUUUAUAACCGGGGGGAGUUAGUAGCUGGGAGUAGUGCUGAUUAUAUCGAUACAGAUCUUGUCAAAGAACCUGUAAGAUAGGACACAUUGAGCUAUUCUUCAAGGAUUAAUUAAGAGAGGGAGACUGCGCACUAUUCUCAAGUCUAAUCUGCUAAGAGAGCAUGGUUGUUUGACCCAACUCAGCCAGUUGCUACGACAACAAGUUCAGAAUCUCUCCAACAUGUCCCACAAUGCAUCAGCGGUUGAGGACGACCCAGAGAAAUCCAAGAUGUCGGAGAAGUUUAUGAACUUACUGGCCACAGCCAUCAACAAUCUCUCCUCUAACGAACAAAAUCACAAACAGUUUGAGGACUGUGUGCCGAUGCUGGUUGACAUUGCGCUGGAGGAGGAGACAGGAGAAUCGGUGCGCCUGUCCUCACUGCAGGCCCUGACCAACCUUUCUGUGAUGGAGCACCACCACAACCACUACACCCGCAUCAUCCAGAAACUGUACCACUUCCUGGACGGCCAGAGCCCCGGGAUACGCCUACAAGCCGCUAAGAUCCUGGUCAACCUUUCCUGUAACCCCGAGCUCGUACCACACAUGUUAGCCGCCAAGGCGCCAGCAUGUGUACUGGAGUUACUAAGGACCGGAGCGGAUGAGGCACUCGUUCUCCGCUGGACUACUUUCCUGGCCAACAUCCUGACCACGGUGAAGGAGUCCCACCUGUCUGCUUCGUCCCUCCCCCCGGACGACAAAGCCCCCAGCCCAGAGACCAUGUACUCUGCCCUGUACGGAAUGAACAGCAUAGGUCAGAUCAAGUCCAAGGUGUUCCUUUUGUGUCGCCACAAAAACGAAAACAUCAAACACCAGGCGUCCAGGAUUUACCAGAUGUUGAAUUCUAAGUGAAGUGUGUCGGUGUAGAGAGAGCGAUCGGUUUGUGAUCAUUGCAUGGUCCUAGAAAAUCGGAGCCUGAUAACUGUGUAGAGAUAUCGGUGAGCUCAGUGAUUUGAUAAAGCUGGAGACUUCCUUAAAAUGGUUUUAUGAUUCUUUCAUGUUGACAUCACUCCCAGAACUUAAUUAAAGUGUUAGAAAAGAUUUAUUUUUUUGUGAAGAUAAUUUUAUCAAUGGACUGUUGUGUCUUUCACUAGGUAUUUUUUGUGUGAGAGUUUUACCAUGGUUGUAAAUUCUUAAUAAAAUGUUACCUUUGCCAU